AUUGAACGCUGGCGGCAGGCUUAACACAUGCAAGUCGAGCGGAGAGAGGUAGCUUGCUACUGAUCUUAGCGGCGGACGGGUGAGUAAUGCUUAGGAAUCUGCCUAUUAGUGGGGGACAACAUUUCGAAAGGAAUGCUAAUACCGCAUACGUCCUACGGGAGAAAGCAGGGGAUCUUCGGACCUUGCGCUAAUAGACGAGCCUAAGUCGGAUUAGCUAGUUGGUGGGGUAAAGGCCUACCAAGGCGACGAUCUGUAGCGGGUCUGAGAGGAUGAGCCGCCACACUGGGACUGAGACACGGCCCAGACUCCUACGGGAGGCAGCAGUGGGGAAUAUUGGACAAUGGGCGGAAGCCUGAUCCAGCCAUGCCGCGUGUGUGAAGAAGGCCUUAUGGUUGUAAAGCACUUUAAGCGAGGAGGAGGCUACUUUAGUUAAUACCUAGAGAUAGUGGACGUUACUCGCAGAAUAAGCACCGGCUAACUCUGUGCCAGCCGCCGCUGUAAUAC
rnacentral:rRNA from 1 species